GAUGAACGCUGGCGGCGUGCUUAACACAUGCAAGUCGAAUGAUGAACCUCACUUGUGGGGGGAUUAGUGGCGAACGGGUGAGUAACACGUGAGUAACCUGCCCUUGACUCUGGGAUAAGCCUGGGAAACCGGGUCUAAUACUGGAUACGACCUUCUGGCGCAUGCCAUGUUGGUGGAAAGCUUUUGUGGUUUUGGAUGGACUCGCGGCCUAUCAGCUUGUUGGUGGGGUAAUGGCCUACCAAGGCGACGACGGGUAGCCGGCCUGAGAGGGUGACCGGCCACACUGGGACUGAGACACGGCCCAGACUCCUACGGGAGGCAGCAGUGGGGAAUAUUGCACAAUGGGCGCAAGCCUGAUGCAGCGACGCCGCGUGAGGGAUGAAGGCCUUCGGGUUGUAAACCUCUUUCAGUAGGGAAGAAGCCGGCUUUUGGGUUGGUGACGGUACCUGCAGAAGAAGCGCCGGCUAACUACGUG
rnacentral:rRNA from 1 species